CUGAAUUACGAUCUGAAACUUAUCAAGGUAUUACACAAGCAAUUGAGAAAGGCGCUUCAAGUGGCAAAGAUGUAGGUGUAAAAAAAACAUUACCUUCAAGCUUUAUUGGUUCUAGACGAUACUUAGUCCAGAAUUAUCAUGAUGCUAUGGCUAUAUGCCGUGUCUAUGGUGCUCCUCACUUAUUCAUGACAUAUACAUGUAACACAAAUUGGCCUGAAAUCACUAAGACUAUUCAAUAUGAAGAAGUACAUAAGCCAAGAGAUAGAAAUGAUAUUAUAGUCCGAGUUUUUCAUAUGAAACUGCAUGAACUACUCAGUGAUAUCAAAGAAGGUAUAUUCUUUGGUCAUACCACAACUGGUAAGCAUCUAACUUCCACCACUUCUGUCAAAUUCAAUUCUCUUUUUAUUGCAUAAUAUUACAUUAUAUAAAUUUAUUCAUGAGAUAAUUUACUUCCUUCCUUCAUUCAAUAUUUUAUUUUCAGUUAUGCAUACCAACGAAUUUCAAAAAAGAGGACUUCCUCACUCACAUAUACUCAUAUGGUUAAAUCAUGAUUCAUUCGAAUCAUCACCUUCUUUUAUUGACUCCAUAAUAUCUGCUGAACUACCAGACAAGAAUAUUGACCCAUUAGAUUUUGUUAUGGUAGAGGAAUUUAUGAUUCAUGGUCCAUGUGGUAAAUACAAUCCAAAUUCUCCAUGUAUGAGGGAUGGAGUAUGUUCAAAAUGAUAUCCUAAAUCUUUUCGUGAAGAAACCAUCAUAGAUAAAGAUGGAUUCCCUGUUUAUCGCCGUCGUAAUAAUGGCAGGACUGUCAUGAAAAAUGAUAUAGAAUUAGACAAUCAUUGGGUUGUUCCACACAAUUUGGUACUUCUUAAAAAAUAUAAUGUUCAUAUAAAUGUUGAAGCCGUCAACAAACUAAAUCUGGUGAAAUACCUUUUCAAAUACGUAAUGAAGGGUCCUGACUGUGCAAAAAGUUACUUUAUGGCAAAAUCAAGAACAGAUGAUUCCAUGGGAGGCACAGAUGAACUAGAAAAUAAUGAUGGAAUUGAUGAGAUAGCUGAAUAUAUAAAAUCAAGGUACUUAUCUACCUGUGAGGCUGACUGGAGGUUAUUUGGUUUCGAAAUUCAUGAAAAGACUCCAUCAGUUGAACGCCUACAUGUACAUUUACCUGGCAUGAAUGUCAUUACUUGCCAUGAAGAAGAUGACUUGCAAGAUAUAAUUGAUGAUCCUGAUUCUCAGGUCAGUAUGCUAACACAAUGGUUUAUAACUAAUCAACUCUAUCCAAAUGCAAGAAAUCUUACAUAUUGUGAAUUUCCUACAAAAUGGAGUUGGCAUCCUGACAAAAAACUAUGGUCUAGAAGACACACAAGCACUCCUAAAAUUGGAAGAUUAAGGUUCAUACACCCAAGAACCGGUGAAGCAUUUUAUCUUAGAAUGCUUCUUAUGGUAGUCAAAGGAGCCACAUAUUAUGAAGACAUUCGAACAUAUCAACAUAUAGUAUAUCCUACUUUUUGUGAAGCAUGUAAAACCCGUGGUCUAAUUGGUGAUGAUACUGAGUGGUUUAUUCUCUUUGAUGAAGCAAUAAUAUGGGCAACAGCUUCCCAGUUGAGACAUCUAUUCAUGACUAUUAUUGUUUUCUCUGGAGUCAGUAACGUACAAAUUCUAUUUGAUAAAUAUUGGCAAUUUAUGGCUGAUGAUAUCUCAUAUCGUCUUCAUCAAUCAUUGCAGAAUAACACAUAUAGAGUUCCUGAUGAUCACUUAAAAACAUUGGUUAUCCAAGAACUAGAUGCAAUGUUUUCAAGAAAUGGUUUAUCUUUAUCAUCUUAUAAUUUCUUAAUCCCAUAUGAUGCAGCUAGAGGAACAUCAAUAAACAGACUACUCAUCGAAGAGCUUUCUUACAAUAGAGCUGCUCUAGAACAAGAAGCAUACCAGAUGUACAGUUUACUGAACAAAGAACAACAACACAUCUUUGAUACGAUCAUCACAAGUAUACACAAUAGAACUCAAUGCCUUUACUUUGUCUCAGGUUACGAAACUAUCAUACUUACAUUUGAACACACAAUAUUACAAUAUUAUGGUAACCGUACAGAUCUAACAACUUAAGAAAUUUGUUGAUUUCAGGCUUUGGAGGAACUGAAAAAAUGUAUCUUUGGAACUAUAUUAUAUCAAAACUAAGAUCUGAAGUCUAAUUUCUGUAACAAAUGAGGUGCACUCAAUUAAGAGAGAUCAACCAAAAUUGUCAUAAAUCAAGGAUCUGCGCAAGAGUCACAAGGCUGUCAGAAUAUAUACUUUAUAGCAAUCCUGAUCAAAUCCAAAGACUUGAUUUUGUCCUCAUUGAUCAGGAGGGAAAAGCUAUCGAAGCUCAAGUGCCUCAACGCCACGUUGCUCGAUUCAAGGAACAGCUUAGAGAAGGUGUUGUCUACUUCAUUGAAUUUUUUCAGGUCUUCCCAGCUAAAACAACUUAUCGAGCCAUCGAUCAUAUGUAUAUGGUUAAAUUCACUGGCCAUACUGAGGUGACCGAAGCACCAUAUGUCCCCCCAACAUUUCCAAUGUGUGCCUAUAACUUACCAUCAUUUGAUACUUUGAGAAGCAAAAUUGACUACAUUGAUGACAUGUCAGAUACUAUUGGUCAAGUAGUAUAUGUUGAACAUGCUACAACUGCCUAUGUUAAAGGCAUAAGGAAACCAAUCAGACACUUCUACCUUACGGAUGGCCG